GUCUCACCCAGCCCACUCCGGCACGUUUUGGGGAUGCUGUGAAACUCGACCGAGCUGCCUGUUAUCAUAAGAGAACCAAGCGAGUGGGGCUCUGAGCUGUUCCUGCUGUGUGCCUGCUCCCGGGCCACCUGCUAGCCCCAGGGUCAUCACCUCUGGACUCCAAGGGACCCCAGGAGCGUCGGGAUUCGGAGAAGCGAGCUCUACCUGGACACACAUCCACCCCAGUCCUGCCCAUAAGUGUCUCUGCCCAGCUCGUGAGCUUCCUGAGGGCGGAGACCUCGUCCUCUCUGGGUGCCAGGGCUCCAUAACGUGCCUGGCCCCAGGGUGCCCGUUAAACUGACAUGAAAUGAAUGUCCCUGAGCUCGUACCCAUAGGACAGGACUCUAAAUAUCAUCGGAUCACAUCAUGAGAAAGCGAUGGCCUUUUCUACUCCGUGCCAGUCUUUCUCAUGACAUCAAGGAGAACAUCUUGGGCUGGCGCCAGGACGUCUUGACGCCUCCCCGCCCUCGCCCAUCCGCACCCAGAGCCAAGAACAGGCGGUCUAGGGCCCAGACCUAGCAGACCAGUGUACCAGCAAGAGUAAGAGCAUUGCUUCAUUUUAGAAUCACCUUCAAUUCUGAGCAAGCGGUGCUGGUUUCCCGCUUAUAACAGCAACGUAAAGUUUCUUUUAAAUGUGUUUUAAAUUUUAAAACAAUUUCAGACUUAGAGAAAAGUUGCAAAAGUCAUACAAAGAAUUCCUGGAUAUCCUUUAUCCAGAUUCCCUAGUAUUAACAUUUUUCUACUUUCUCUCUCUCUCUCUUUUUCUCCCCACUACCUACCCACACGCACACAUGCACAGAGAUUAUUUUUUUCUGAACCAUCUAAAAACAGGUUUUCUUGGGGCCAGCCCGGUGAUGGAGUGGUCAGGUUGCCCACUCUACUUUGGUGGCCUGGGGUUUGCAGGUUCGGCUCCCUCGUGUGGACCUGCGCACAGCUCAUCAAGCCACGCCGUGGUGGCCUCUCACAUACAAAAUAAAGGAAGAUGGGCACGGAUGUUAGCUCAGGGCCAAUCUUCCUCACCCAAAAAAAAAAAAAUCAAUACUUUAGUGUAUAUUUCCUAAAAGCAGGAACAUUUUCUUACAUAACUACAGUACGCUUGUCAAAAUCAGGGAGUUGACACAGACACAGUACUGUUACCUAAUCUGGAGACCUCAUCCUGAUUUCACCCUCCGUCCCAGUAAAACCCCAGCUCACACUUUGCAUUCGGUUGCCGCGUCUCUUUAGCUCCUUUAACUGGCAACAGUUCUCGAGUCUUGGUAUUUUGCCAUCUUAGCAUUUUUGAAAAGUACGUGCCAGAUAUUUUGUAAAAUGGCUGAAGAGUCCUUUAAAAAUAAAGUUUUGAAAAAACGUG
rnacentral:lncRNA from 1 species